rnacentral:lncRNA from 10 species
GGGCGCUCACGCAACCGCCACUGUCUGGAGCGGGCUCGCCUCUGCGGCAGCCCUCACCGCCCGGGCUUUACUGAAGCGGAGUCUAGCAUGUGCGGCUGCUCCACAGCGGUGUGGGUGGCGGCGGCUCCUCUGCAGCAGCCUCGGCAGUAGGGGUCAGGGUGGCCAAGCCCACCGUGGAGCUCAUCUGAGAGUUGUAAGGUACGGGACUGCCUCGGUCUUUGGGACGCCCCGUCUGGUAGCAUCCCAGAUCCAGCACGUUCCUUCCGGCCCUGCACCCCGGCCCGGUGCCUCACACCCCGCUACCCCAAGCAUCCAGACUCUAAGGCAGCCCCUGCAUCUCAGUCCUGACAUCGCUGUCCCUGGAGCAUCCUCCGCUGGAGCUGGAGCUUGACAGCCAAGACAAUCCAAAGCAAAAAGAACACAGCUGGAGGCAUCACGCUACCUGACUUCAAACUACUGCAAGGCUACAGUAACCAAGACAGCAUGGUAAUAGUACCAAACAGAUAUCUAGACCAAUGGAAUGGAACAGAGGCUGCAUAAAUAACACCACACACCUACAACCAUCAGAUUUUUGACAAACCUGACAAAAACAAGCAAUGGGGAAAGGAUUCCCUAUUUUAUAAAUGAUGUUGGGAAAGCUGGCUAGCCGUAGGCAGAAAACUGAAACUGGACCCCUUCCUUACACCUUAUACAAAAAAACUGAAACUGGACCCCUUCCUUACACCUUAUACAAAAAUUAACUCAAUUUUAUUAUGUUGUAUUAAAUUAAGUUGGGUUUAAUUAAGAUGGAUUAAAGACUUAAUUAUAAGACCUAAAACCAUAAAAACCCUAGAAGAAAACCUAGGCCAUACCAUUCAGGACACGGGUAUGGGCAAAGACUUCAUAACUAAAACACCAAAAGCAAUGGCAACGAAGUCCAAAUAGACAAAUUGGACCUGAUUAAACUAAAGAGCUUCAGCACAGCAGAAGAGACUAUCGUCAGAGUGAACAGGCAACCCACAGAAUGGAAGAAAAUUCUUGCAAUCUAUCCAUCUGACAAGGGGCUAAUAUCCAAAAUCUACAAAGAACUUAAACAAAUUUACAAGGAAAAACACAAACAACCCCAUCAAAAAGUGGGCUAAGGAUGUGAACAGACACUUCUCAAAAGAAAACAUUUAUGCAGCCAACAAACAUGAAAAAAAGUUCAUCAUCACUGCUCAUUAGAGACAUGCAAAUCAAAACCACAAUGAGAUACCAUCCCACACCAGUUAGAAUGGCAAUCAUUAAAAUGUCAGGAAACAACAGAUGCUGGAGAGGAUGUGGAGAAAUAGGAACACUUUUACACUGUUGGUGGUAGUGUAAAUUAGUUCAACCGUUGUGGAAGACAGUGUGACCAUUCCUCAAAGACCUAUAACCUGAAACACCAUUUGACCCAGCAAUCCCAUUACUGGGUAUAUAUCCAAAGGAUUAUAAAUCAUUCUACUAUAAAGACACAUGCACACAUAUGCUUAUUGCAGCACUGUUCACAGUAGCAAAGACUUGGAACCAACCCAAAUGCCCAUCAAUGAUAGACUGCAUAAAGAAAAUGGGGCACAUAUACACCAUGGAAUACUAUGCAGCCAUAAAAAAAGAUGAGUUCAUGUCCUUUGCAGGGACAUGGAUGAAGCUGGAAACCAUCAUUCUCAGCAAACUAACACAAAAACAGAAAACCAAACACCACAUGUUCUCACUCAUAAGUGGGAGUGGAACAAUGAGAACACAUGGACACAGGGAGGGGAACAUCACACACCAGGGCCUGUUGGGUUUAUAGGGGGCUGGGGAAGGGAUAGCAUUAGGAGAAAUACUUAAUAUAGAUGACGUGUUGAUGGGUGCGGUAAACCACCAUGGCACGUUUAUACCUAUAUAACAAACCUGCAAGUUCUGCACAUGUAUCUCAGAACUUAAAGUAUAAUAAUUUAAAAAAAGAAAAAAUGUAAAAAAAAGAAAUUAAAAAGAGUUGGAGCAUAGAAGAAAGAAAAGAAAUGCAAUUUGAAGGGCAGUAUGUGCAGUGUAAUCUCAUUUGUGGAAACAAUUUUUAAAAGAAAAAUGCAUGUAAAUGUAUAGGAAACUUCUGGAAAGAUACACAAAGCCAAGAGCUGUAUGGGAAGAAGGUAAAAGAACCAUAGGGAAGAGUUACCUUUUACUUUUCACAUAACUUUCUUUCCCUUUUUAAAAUAAUAAGCAUGUUUUAUUUUUAUAAUUU